GUACGUGAAACCGUUCAGGUGUAAACGGGAGAAAUCCUGAAUUCGAAAGGGGCCGGAUUCAGUUCCUACCGUGUGCAUUCAGGACGCUUCUGCCAGAUGGUGCUGGUCGCCUGCGGUGAUUCAUUUCGCUUGCGGUGUCGUUCCCGGCGAUCACUCGGCAUGAUGUGUUGACCUGGCACCGGAGGAGUGCACUUCCACCCUAGUAGAAACGUCGCGACCCGUUGGGUGCCGAUCAGAGGCCCAGGAUGGCAGGCCGUGUGUCCUGUGGGGNUUCUCACAGGCAUGUGGACUCUUGGUGACCCGAUCGGCUGCCCGACGGUAUGACCAGAGGAGUCGAUCCGCUGAAUUGGAAACACUGUGGUUGUGAAGCGUCUGGCCCGUCGCCGACGCGCGUGGGGAUUGAGGUGUAAACCGGGGGUGCCCGUGCGAAGCACGGCCCCGGCCCCACUGCGUGCUCGGAUUUGUCGGUGUCCUCGGACUGGAUCAGCACUCCCGUNNGCGACGCCCAUCUUCGGAUGG
rnacentral:rRNA from 1 species